AGGUUCUGAAACAUGAAUGAGCAACAGGAUCCCCUGGAGGGCUUGUUAAGGCACAGAUGUCUCGGUCUCCGCAGAAUUUCUGAUUGGGAAAUGUAGACUGGCCACAAGAGAUGGAUCACAAGUCGCUGCAUAUGGUAAACCGUCCUGAGGGCAAGACCCAUGUGGAUUUCUCACUUGGACUGAAAGUAACAAGCAAGGUUUUACUGUGGCAUCCCUGGGAAGGCCUGUCGUGGACACCGGACUACAGCGAACUCAAGUGGCCAUGGGCCAGGUUGACAUCCCCCAGUGUCUCCUUUGAGGCCACGCCUCCUCCCGUGGCUCAUUGCGUGACUGAGUGCCUUGAGGAUACUGAAGCAGAUCUAGUCUUGAGAAACAUGGGGCUCCUUUGUUGGGUGACAUUUGCUCAAGGACGGCCCGACGAUCUUCUGCAGAUGUCCUGCGGGGGAGUGUAGAACGCUUCGGCUCCAUGUCCUCUCCCUCGCUCCUUUAGGUGAGGGCCGCCCUGUGAGGUUCUCUGAUGGUUCUCCCAGUCUUUCCCGCCCCCUCCCUAUUUC